CCUACGGGUGGCAGCAGUGAGGAAUAUUGGUCAAUGGGCGGAAGCCUGAACCAGCCAAGUCGCGUGAGGGAAUAAGGCCCUACGGGUCGUAAACCUCUUUUGCCGGGGAGCAAGGGCGGGGACGUGUCCCGGCCCGGAGAGGACCCGGAGAAAAAGCAGCGGCGAACUCCGGGCCAGCAGCCGCGGUAAUAAGUAGGGGGCAAGCGUUAUCCGGAUUUACUGGGUGGAAAGGGAGCGUAGACGGCGCGGCAAGUCUGAAGUGAAAGGCAGGGGCUUAACCCCUGAACUGCUUUGGAAACUGCCAUGCUGGAGUGCUGGAGAGGUAAGUGGAAUUCCUCGUGUAGCGGU
rnacentral:rRNA from 1 species